rnacentral:rRNA from 1 species
UACGAAGGGGGCUAGCGUUGCUCGGAAUCACUGGGCGUAAAGCGCACGUAGGCGGACUCUUAAGUCAGGGGUGAAAUCCUGGAGCUCAACUCCAGAACUGCCUUUGAUACUGAGAGCCUUGAGUCCGGAAGAGGUAAGUGGAACUGCGAGUGUAGAGGUGAAAUUCGUAGAUAUUCGGAAGAACACCAGUGGCGAAGGCGGCUCACUGGUCCGGUACUGACGCUGAGGUGCGAAAGCGUGGGGAGCAAACAGG